CUAGGUCUUUUUGUUUCCCUGUAGCCCCACACAUGCGCCCUGGCUACUGGCCCACAAGAUCCAGUCUCCGCAAGAGAAGGAAGCUCUUUAUGCCUUAACGGUGCUGGAGAUGUGCAUGAACCACUGUGGGGAGAAGUUCCACAGCGAGGUGGCCAAAUUUCGUUUCCUGAACGAACUGAUCAAAGUGUUGUCCCCAAAGUACCUGGGGUCCUGGGCCACAGGAAAAGUUAAAGGAAGAGUCAUUGAAAUACUCUUUAGUUGGACAGUCUGGUUUCCGGAAGACAUCAAGAUUCGAGACGCUUAUCAGAUGCUGAAGAAACAAGGAAUUAUAAAACAAGACCCUAAACUACCAGUGGAUAAAAUCUUACCCCCACCAUCUCCCUGGCCCAAGAGCUCCAUCUUUGAUGCUGAUGAAGAAAAGUCCAAGCUUCUGACAAGGCUUCUAAAGAGCAACCACCCCGAGGACCUUCAGGCUGCAAACCGGUUAAUCAAGAAUUUGGUCAAGGAGGAACAAGAAAAAUCGGAGAAGGUGUCCAAGAGGGUCAGUGCGGUGGAGGAAGUGCGAAGCCAUGUGAA
rnacentral:sRNA from 1 species